rnacentral:rRNA from 1 species
GACGAACGCUGGCGGCGUGCUUAACACAUGCAAGUCGAACGGAAAGGCCCUGCUUUUGUGGGGUGCUCGAGUGGCGAACGGGUGAGUAACACGUGAGUAACCUGCCCUUGACUUUGGGAUAACUUCAGGAAACUGGGGCUAAUACCGGAUAGGAGCUCCUGCUGCAUGGUGGGGGUUGGAAAGUUUCGGCGGUUGGGGAUGGACUCGCGGCUUAUCAGCUUGUUGGUGGGGUAGUGGCUUACCAAGGCUUUGACGGGUAGCCGGCCUGAGAGGGGGGACGGACAAAGGGGGACUGAGAGAGGCACCAGACGGCAAGGGGAGCAAACGGGGGGAAAUAUUGCAAAGGGGGGGAGAGUUUGAGACAAAAACCCCGGGGGCGGAAGAAGGGCUUACGGGUGGAAAACCGGUUUGGCAGGUAAGAAAGAGGGAGGGAGGUAAAUGGAUAAGAAAGAACCGGAAAACUACGUG